rnacentral:rRNA from 1 species
CUGGCGGCGUGCCUAAUACAUGCAAGUCGAGCGAGAAUCAGGGAAGCAGCGAUUCGUCAAAGCGGAACUGAGGAAAGCGGCGGACGGGUGAGUAACGCGUAGGCAACCUGCCUCAGCAGAGGGAUAGCCAUUGGAAACGAUGAUUAAAACCUCAUAAUGCUGUUUUAACACAUGUUGAGACAGCCAAAGAUUUAUCGGCUAAGGAUGGGCCUGCGUCUGAUUAACUAGUUGGUGAGGUAACGGCCCACCAAGGUGACGAUCAGUAGCCGACCUGAGAGGGUGAUCGGCCACAUUGGAACUGAGACACGGUCCAAACUUCUACGGAAGGCAGCAGUAAGGAAUCUUGCACAAUUGGGGGGAAACCCUGAUGCAGCAACGCCGCGUGAACGAUGAAGGCCUUAGGGUUGUAAAGUUCUGAUCUGGGGGAAGAAGAAGUGACGGUACCCCAGGAGAAAGCCCCGGCUAAAUACGUGCCAGCCGCCGC